rnacentral:lncRNA from 1 species
GGCCCCUCCUUCAUCUCAACUUUGCUUUUCUGUUUUCAGAUUCUCUUCAGUCUUCCUGCUUGCGCUGGUCCCAGAGGAGACUGCCCUCUCCAAGUCUAGUGACAGCAGCAGUGGUGGUGACAGUGGUGGCAGCACCACAUCCUUUGACUCUUGGGUUAGCUUGUCUUAAUUAUACCCCGGCUGGAACAGGGCCAGGAGGAAUGAUCUAUUACUGCUGCAAAGCAUGCAGGGAAAACUACCAGGAAAUAAAUUCAAAGGUUCUCAGCAGAGACACAGAUGGCGAAGAAGCUUGGGAGCACUGGAGGCCAUCUCCACACGGUAGACGAGAAGGGGCAACAAGGUUCCUCGGUUUCUUCCGGUGGAGAAGCUGUGCUUCCCUGGGCCCCACUUACACAGAGAAGAGGACUGUGCACAUUUAUAUGGGCUCCCAGGGUGUUUAGCAAAGAAGCUCUGUAAAUUUUAUCCUUAGAAAAUAGUCCAGAUUGUCCAGUCUCUGAACUCCUUUGAAGCUGGUUGUAUUUGUGAUCUACCUCCAGGGCGGUAGUAGGCCUGGCCCAGGGCCACAUACUGUCUACAGCCCAGUUCAUUACAAUUCUGGCUGUCCUCAGGCUGGUUCCCUGGGUCUGCUAUAGGAAGUAGCUUAGAUAGGAGAAAACUUAAGACAUCUAACAGUAUGAGAAUAUAUAUAUAUAUAUAAUAUAUAUUAUGAUACACCAUCUGAUAGAUUAUCAAGCAGUUUUGGACACUGAAGCUUAUAAUAAUAAGAAAAUAUUCAUGUUACUGUACAAACUGAAAAAUCACAUAACAUUGUCUAUAUAACAUGAUCUCCAUUCUAUAAUAAAACAAGAAUAAAAAUGACAGGGAGG